rnacentral:rRNA from 1 species
AUUUCGCGUGAAGGAUGAAGCAUUACGGUGUGUAAACUUCUUUUUUGGCAGAAGACGAAUGACGGUAUGUCAAGAAUAAGAGACGGCUAACUACGUGCCAGCAGCCGCGGUAAUACGUAGGUCUCAAGCGUUAUCCGGAUUUACUGGGCGUAAAGUGUCCGUAGUCUGAAUUGUAAGUCUGUUUUCAAAUCCUACGACUCAAUCGUAGAAAGGGAAUGGAUACUGCAAUUCUGGAAGUAUCUAGGGGUUAGUGGAAUUUCCGGUGGAGCGGUGAAAUGCGUUGAUAUCGGAAGGAACGCCGAAAGCGAAAGCAGCUAACUAUAGAAUACUUGACGAUGAGGGACGACAGUUUGGGGAGCAAACAGGAUUAGAUACCCUGGUAGUCCAAACCGUAAAUUAUGCUUGCUAGAUGUUUUUAUCAAUUUAUUGGUAGGAGUGUCGUAAUCUAACGAGUUAAGCAAGCCGCCUGGGUAGUAUAUUCGCAAGAAUGAAACUCAAAGGGAUAGGCGGGGGAACACACAAGCAGUGGAUUAUCUAGAUUAAUUGGAUAAUAAGCCAAGAAUCUUACCUAGGAUUGACAUGUAUUGUGUCUGCGGUGAAAGUCGCAUAUCCGUAGCAAUACGGAGCUUUACACAGGUGGUGCAUGGUCGUCGUCAGCUCGUGCCGCAAGGUGUCUAGUUAAGUCUGGAAACGAGCGCAACCCUCGUGUUUAGUUAGUAUGUCUAAACAGACUGCUCGGGUAACCGAGAGGAAGGAGAGGAUGACGUCAGAUCCUCAUGCCCCUUACACCUAGGGCCUCAUAGAUAAUACAAUGGGUAGGUACAGCGAGAAGCGAUACCGCGAGGUGGAGCAAAUCUUUAAAACUACCCCUAGUUCGGAUUGUAGUCUGGAACUCGACUACAUGAAGUUGGAAUUGCUAGUAAUGGCAGAUCAGCCAUGCUGCCGUGAAUACGUCCCUGUUCCUUGCACUCACCGCCCGUCAAACCAUGGGAGCUGAGGCUCUUUGAAGACUCAUUAUAUGGGUUAAGGAGGGAAUCAGUGACUGGGGUUAAGUCGUAACAAGGCAUCCCUACCGGAAGGUGGGGAUA